UUGAAACAAUGCAUAAUUACUUAAAAUAUAUAUAUUUUUAAUAGUACAAUUAAACCGUGUUAAAAAUUUGUGUAUCGAACUUGAUACUGCAGGUGCUCCAGUCCUGAAUUGUCAUGUGACAUUUUAGUAAUUUUAGUAAUUUAAUCAACAGUAUUCUUGCCACAAUACAACCACACACUAUUUUAGUAAUUU